rnacentral:rRNA from 1 species
AUUGAACGCUGGCGGCAGGCCUAACACAUGCACGUCGAACGAGUGGCGGACGGGUGAGUAAUGUCUGGGAAACUGCCUGAUGGAGGGGGAUAACUACUGGAAACGGUAGCUAAUACCGCAUACCAUCAGAUGGGCCCAGAUGGGAUUAGCUUGUUGGCGGGGUAACGGCUCACCAGGGCGACGAUCCCUAGCUGGUCUGAGAGGAUGACCAGCCCAUCUGGAACUGAGACACGGUCCAGACUCCUACGUGAGGCAGCAUGGGGGAAUAUUGCACAAUGGGCGCAAGCCUGCUGCCGCCAUGCCGCGUGUAUGAAGAAGGCCUUCGGGUUAUAAAGUACUUUCCGCGGGGAGGCGUUACCCGCAGAAGAAGCACCGGCUAGCUCCGUGCCAGCAGCCGCGGUAAGUC